rnacentral:rRNA from 1 species
GACGAACGCUGGCGGCGUGCUUAACACAUGCAAGUCGAACGGAAAGGUCCCUUUUGGGGUACUCGGGUGGCGAACGGGGGAGUAACACGUGAGUAACCUGGCCUUGACUUCGGGAUAACUUCAGUAAACUGGGGCUAAUACCGGGGAGCAAUCCUUUCUGCAUGGUGGAGGGUGGAAAGCUGCGGUGGUUUGGGAUGGACUCGCGGCUUAUCAGCUUGUUGGUGGGGUAGUGGCUUACCAAGGCUUUGACGGGUAGCCGGCCUGAGAGGGCGACCGGCCACAUUGGGACUGAGAUACGGCCCAGACUCCUACGGGAGGCAGCAGUGGCGGAUAUUGAAAAAUGGGCGGAAGCCUGAUGCAGCACCGCCGCGUGCGGGAUGACGGCCUUCGGGUUGUAAACCGAAUUCAGCAGGGGCGAAGCUUGUGGUGACGGUACCUGCAGAAGAAGCACCGGCUAACUACGUG